CGGGGGGCAGCAGUGAGGAAUAUUCCACAAUGGGGGCAACCCUGAUGGAGCGAUGCCGCGUGCAGGAAGACGCUUUUCGGAGUGUAAACUGCUUUUAACAGGGAAGAUUAUGACGGUACCUGUAGAAUAAGGACCGGCUAACUACGUGCCAGCAGCCGCGGUAAUACGUAGGGUCCAAGCGUUAUUCGGAAUUACUGGGCGUAAAGCGUUCGUAGGCGGUUUGAUAAGUUGGAUGUGAAAUCCUGUGGCUCAACCACAUGGACUGUGUCCAAAACUAUCUAACUAGAGCAUAGUAGAGGCAAGUGGAAUUUCUGGUGUAGGAGUGACAUCCGUAGAUAUCAGAAGGAACACCAAUGGCGAAGGCAGCUUGCUGGGCUAUUGCUGACGCUCAGGAACGAAAGCGUGGGGAGCGAACGGGAUUAGAUACCCGAGU
rnacentral:rRNA from 1 species